rnacentral:rRNA from 1 species
AUUGAACGCUGGCGGCAGGCCUAACACAUGCAAGUCGAGCGGAUGAAGGGAGCUUGCUCCUGGAUUCAGCGGCGGACGGGUGAGUAAUGCCUAGGAAUCUGCCUGGUAGUGGGGGAUAACGUCCGGAAACGGGCGCUAAUACCGCAUACGUCCUGAGGGAGAAAGUGGGGGAUCUUCGGACCUCACGCUAUCAGAUGAGCCUAGGUCGGAUUAGCUAGUUGGUGGGGUAAAGGCCUACCAAGGCGACGAUCCGUAACUGGUCUGAGAGGAUGAUCAGUCACACUGGAACUGAGACACGGUCCAGACUCCUACGGGAGGCAGCGGUGGGGAAUAUUGGACGAUGGGCGAAAGCCUGAUCCAGCCAUGCCGCGUGUGUGAAGAAGGUCUUCGGAUGGUAAAGCACUUUAAGUGGGGAGGAAGGGCAGUAAGUUAAUACCUUGCUGUUUUGACGUUACCAACAGAAUAAGCACCGGCUAACUUCGUG